CCCUUAGAUGUCCUGGGCCGCACGCGCGCUACACUGAACGGAUCAGCGCGUUUUCCCUUCCCGAGAGGGACGGGUAACCUGCUGAACCCCGUUCGUGGUAGGGAUCGGGGCUUGCAAUUAUUCCCCGUGAACCAGGAAUGCCCAGUAAGUGCAAGUCAUAAGCUUGCGUUGAUUGCGUCCCUGCCCUUUGUACACACCGCCCGUCGCUACUACCGAUUGAACGUUUUAGUGAGGUACUCGGACUGAGCCUCAGAAGAUUCACGUCUUUUGUGCUGCUCGGGAAGAUUCCCAAACUUGAGCGUUUAGAGGAAGUAAAAGUCGUAACA
rnacentral:rRNA from 1 species